GAUGAACGCUGGCGGCGUGCCUAAUACAUGCAAGUCGAGCGAACAGACGAGGAGCUUGCUCCUUUGACGUUAGCGGCGAACGGGUGAGUAACACGUAGGUAACCUACCUAUAAGACUGGGAUAACUUCGGGAAACCGGAGCUAAUACCGGAUAAUAUUUCGAACCGCAUGGUUCGAUAGUGAAAGAUGGCUUUGCUAUCACUUAUAGAUGGACCUGCGCCGUAUUAGCUAGUUGGUAAGGUAACGGCUUACCAAGGCAACGAUACGUAGCCGACCUGAGAGGGUGAUCGGCCACACUGGAACUGAGACACGGUCCAGACUCCUACGGGAGGCAGCAGUAGGGAAUCUUCCGCAAUGGGCGAAAGCCUGACGGAGCAACGCCGCGUGAGUGAUGAAGGUCUUCGGAUCGUAAAACUCUGUUAUUAGGGAAGAACAAACGUGUAAGUAACUGUGCACGUCUUGACGGUACCUAAUCAGAAAGCCACGGCUAACUACGUG
rnacentral:rRNA from 1 species